GGGGAAUAUUGGUCAAUGGGCGCAAGCCUGAACCAGCCAUCCCGCGUGCAGGAUGAAGGCCCUAUGGGUCGUAAACUGCUUUUAUACACCAAGAAAAAACAGGACGUGUCCUGGUCUGACGGUAGUGUAUGAAUAAGCAUCGGCUAACUCCGUGCCAGCAGCCGCGGUAAUACGGAGGAUGCGAGCGUUAUCCGGAUUCAUUGGGUUUAAAGGGUGCGUAGGCGGCUUUUUAAGUCAGUGGUGAAAUCUUGCCGCUUAACGGUAAAAUUGCCAUUGAUACUGAAGAGCUUGAGUCCAGUUGAGGUAAGCGGAAUGUGUAGUGUAGCGGUGAAAUGCUUAGAUAUUACACAGAACACCAAUUGCGAAGGCAGCUUACUAAACUGUCACUGACGCUGAUGCACGAAAGCGUGGGGAGCGAAC
rnacentral:rRNA from 1 species